CCUACGGGAGGCAGCAGUGGGGAAUAUUGCACAAUGGGCGAAAGCCUGAUGCAGCGACGCCGCGUGAGGGAUGACGGCCUUCGGGUUGUAAACCUCUUUCAGUAGGGAAGAAGCGAAAGUGACGGUACCUGCAGAAGAAGCGCCGGCUAACUACGUGCCAGCAGCCGCGGUAAUACGUAGGGCGCAAGCGUUGUCCGGAAUUAUUGGGCGUAAAGAGCUUGUAGGUGGCUUGUCGCGUCUGCCGUGAAAACCCGAGGCUCAACCUCGGGCGUGCGGUGGGUACGGGCAGGCUAGAGUGUGGUAGGGGAGACUGGAAUUCCUGGUGUAGCGGUGAAAUGCGCAGAUAUCAGGAAGAACACCGAUGGCGAAGGCAGGUCUCUGGGCCAUUACUGACACUGAGGAGCGAAAGCAUGGGUAGCGAACAGGAUUAGAUACCCUGGUAGUCCAUGCCGUAAACGAUGGGCACUAGGUGUGGGAUCCAUUCCACGGGUUCCGCGCCGCAGCUAACGCAUUAAGUGCCCCGCCUGGGGAGUACGGCCGCAAGGCUAAAACUCAAAGGAAUUGACGGGGGCCCGCACAAGCGGCGGAGCAUGCGGAUUAAUUCGAUGCAACGCGAAGAACCUUAC
rnacentral:rRNA from 1 species